AUUUUGGGAAGGUUCCGGCCGGAACACACAAAAAAUCGAAGGCAGGAAACCGCCGGACUCUGAAAGACGGGUUCGGGGCAAUUUGAGUCUUCACCACCAGACAGCAACCGUACAAAACUAAAGAACUGAGCGCGAUGAGGGUAAAUCCGGAUCUGGACUCCUUUCCCACCAUCAGCAGAAGAACCGAAGGAGAAGAAGCGCCGACCAACAACCAGAACAGGGUGGAAGCUCUGACACCACAGCAGCUGGAGGACACAGACCACAGCAUGGACGCCUCACAGACUCCACAACGUCUGCAGCCAUCACGUUCUGGGCUCAUCAGAUGAACCAGCUACUACAAGCCCUGCACCAGCAUGAAAGGACUGUGUCUGAAGCUUCUGAAGCCGUGAAAGUGUCAUACACGCGUGUGUGUCUGACAGACACCUGCUUAUGACAAUCAGCAAAGGAAAACAAGGACAGAGCAACAGCAGAGUGAGAAGACGUGCUCUAACACAGACACUGGUUGAAACAACAGGAGAGGCUUCAGAUGUGAUCGGCUCAAAAGAGCUGCAUGCGAGGAUCCAGGAAAGGUCUGUCAUCGAGGAACAACUGUCCCAUCGAAAGGCUUCACCCGCUGGCGCUCACAUCAGACUGAUGGUUGGGGAAGGAGGAAGGUGACGGUUCCUUUUCACGUGACGUACAAGACGGUACCGCAAACACACACACACACAUUCAUACACGCAAUGAAGAAACACGCUUACAGCUGAUACACGCUCAAA